rnacentral:tRNA from 1 species
GGCCGUGUGCCCGAGUGGACCAAGGGGGCGGAUUGCAAAUCCGUUUGGCGAAAGCCAGUCGUGGGUUCGAAUCCCACCGCGGCCU